CUGACUGAAUGAAUUAAAGAUGAUUAAAAAUAUACCGACAUGUCUAGGAACCAUGCAAAGAUGUACCCACCUCCCAGAUGACUUUACAACCUGUUCUUUCUGAACCAGACUUUUACCAAGGACCCCUCGACUGACCCAAAACAUUCCUAAAAAAGGGAAA
rnacentral:lncRNA from 1 species